rnacentral:rRNA from 1 species
GAUGAACGCUGGCGGCGUGCCUAAUACAUGCAAGUCGAGCGAAUUGACAGAGGUGCUUGCACCUCUCGAUUUUAGCGGCGGACGGGUGAGUAACACGUGGGUAACCUACCUAUAAGACUGGGAUAACUUCGGGAAACCGGAGCUAAUACCGGAUAAUAUUUAGCUUCGCAGGAAGCAAUAGUGAAAGACGGUUCUGCUGUCACUUAUAGAUGGACCUGCGGUGUAUUAGCUAGUUGGUGAGGUAACGGCUCACCAAGGCAACGAUACAUAGCCGACCUGAGAGGGUGAUCGGCCACACUGGGACUGAGACACGGCCCAGACUCCUACGGGAGGCAGCAGUAGGGAAUCUUCCGCAAUGGACGAAAGUCUGACGGAGCAACGCCGCGUGAGUGAAGAAGGUUUUCGGAUCGUAAAACUCUGUUGUAAGGGAAGAACAAGUACGUUAGUAACUGAACGUACCUUGACGGUACCUUACUAGAAAGCCACGGCUAACUACGUGCCAGCCGCCGCCGUAAAAC